rnacentral:rRNA from 1 species
CUACGGGGCGCAGCAGUGGGGAAUAUUGCACAAUGGGCGCAAGCCUGAUGCAGCCAUGCCGCGUGUAUGAAGAAGGCCUUCGGGUUGUAAAGUACUUUCAGCGGGGAGGAAGGGAGUAAAGUUAAUACCUUUGCUCAUUGACGUUACCCGCAGAAGAAGCACCGGCUAACUCCGUGCCAGCAGCCGCGGUAAUACGGAGGGUGCAAGCGUUAAUCGGAAUUACUGGGCGUAAAGCGCACGCAGGCGGUUUGUUAAGUCGGAUGUGAAAUCCCCGGGCUCAACCUGGGAACUGCAUCUGAUACUGGCCAGCUUGAGUCUCGUAGAGGGGGGUAGAAUUCCAGGUGUAGCGGUGAAAUGCGUAGAGAUCUGGAGGAAUACCGGUGGCGAAGGCGGCCCCCUGGACGAAGACUGACGCUCAGGUGCGAAAGCGUGGGGAGCAAACAGGAUUAGAUACCCUUGUAGUC